CAGCAACUUGCCACAAUUGCCAUUGUCCAGGUUCACCAUCUCCUGUCUAUUCUCUCAGAUCAUCUAACACCUUUAAAAGUGAUUCUAUGACAACCAACAUUUUAUAAGCCACGGCAAAGAAAUGGAAAACAGACUGCCUAUAUUGGUGCGUGAAAGAGAGACGAGUAGAGAAGGCUAAACAACAAAAAUUCAUUCAGAAUCCUCCUCCUCUAUUCUGAUUCUUGUAUUUUUAUCCUCUUCCUAAAUUCUGGACAUGGUAAGUUUGGGGCAAACUUUUUCUCUUUUCCUCUACAUUCCUGUUUAUAAAAUAAGAACUUACUCCAUCUCAAAAAAUACCAGUGAAAGGAUGAUUUUCCUCCUUCCCUAAAAUUCUUUUACCCCAUGGAAGUAAAAUCAACAAUACCAGUAAGAGUCUAUCAGCUCCUGGCCAAGGUUAAUGUAUUGGUCUGGUUCUCAUAUCCCUCUUGAGCUGUCUACUUCCACCAGGUUUGAGGCAGGUCAGAGUCCUCCAUGUGGCAGCUUAGGUAUCUGCCUAAAGAUCCAAAUUUCCUCUUAUAAAUAGUAGGUCAUUUUAAAGGCUUUUGAUGAAUUUUGACCCCUGCCAACUUUUCAUUUGAUUCAAAAAUCAGAGCUUAGAGCAGUCUAUUAAAUGCUUCCUUCAUAAAUAUUAAAAUUGGUGCAUGGACAAGGGAACCCCAAAAUAUAUGCACAAGAAGUACAUGAAGAUCAGAUUAUGAUAAGGGAUGAACAAACACCAACUUUAGGAUGAGGUUUGCUCAGUUUCAAGAACUAAAUUUGUUUAAAAAAAAA